rnacentral:tRNA from 1 species
CAAACUAGAGCUUGGUUAAAGUUUUUUAGUUACAUUAAAAAGAUAAUUUGUUUAAAAUUUAGUUUGA